CCUACGGGAGGCAUCAGUAGGGAAUCUUCCACAAUGGGCGCAAGCCUGAUGCCGCAACACCGCGUGAGUGAAGAAGGGUUUCGGCUCGUAAAGCUCUGUUGUUGGAGAAGAACGUGCGUGAGAGUAACUGUUCACGCAGUGACGGUAUCCAACCAGAAAGUCACGGCUAACUGCGUGCCAGCAGCCGCGGUAAUACGUAGGUGGCAAGCGUUAUCCGGAUUUUUUGGGCGUAAAGCGAGCGCCAGCGGUUGCGUAGGUCUGAUGUGAAAGCCUUCGGCUUAACCGAAGAAGUGCAUCGGAAACCGGGCAACUUGAGUGCAGAAGAGGAAAGCGGAACUCCAGGUGGAGCGGUGGAAUGCGUAGAUAUAUGGAAGAACACCAGUGGCGAAGGCGGCUGUCUGGUCUGCAACUGACGCUGAGGCUCGAAAGCAUGGGUAGCGAACAGGAUUAGAUACCCUUGUAGUC
rnacentral:rRNA from 1 species